rnacentral:rRNA from 1 species
UACGUAGGGGGCAAGCGUUGUCCGGAUUUAUUGGGCGUAAAGAGCGUGUAGGCGGUUAGGUAGGUCCGUUGUGAAAACUCGAGGCUCAACCUCGAGACGCCGAUGGAAACCCCCUAACUAGAGUCCGGAAGAGGAGAGUGGAAUUCCCGGUGUAGCGGUGAAAUGCGUAGAGAUCGGGAAGAACAUCGGUGGCGAAAGCGCUCUACUGGACCACAACUGACACUCAGGGACGAAAGCUAGAGGAGCGAAUGGG